UGCAUGGAUUAGUUUUUCCAUAACCUGCUGAGACAUCAGUCCUUUAAUCAUGAGAAUGCUCUUCAGGUGAUAGAAGGCAGGACAACUGGUGAGGAAAUGUUUAAGCUAGUUGAUGCUUUUCUGACUGAAGUGAGACUGAGCUGGAAAAAUGUCUCUCUGUUUGUACGGAUGGCUCAGCAGUGAUGACCGGCCCAAAGAGUGGAGUUGAAGCGUGGAUAAAAUCCAUCAAUCCAUGCGUUAUAGCUACCCACUGUGUCCUGCAUCAGCAGGCACUAGCUUCCAGAGACAUGGAACCAGAUCUUCUGUUCUGAACACAGCUAUCACUGCAGUUAACUUUGUGAAAUCCAGAGCUUUGAAAUCACGGCUGUUUGGUCAACUUUGCCCAAAUCUGGAAGCUGAACAUGACACACUGCUCUAUCACUGAGGUGUGAUGGUUGUCUCAUGGGAAAGUGUUGCAGAGUUUUUUAGCUACACAGAGAAAUGGCUGAAUUUAUGAGAGGAAAAAAAUGGACAUUGUACAUUUCUUUCAUGAUCCAGACUGCAUUGCCAAGUUAGCCUAUCUUGCAGACAUAUUCAACAUAUUGAACAGCCUCAACUUCUCCGUCCAAGGAAGCUACACAUCUAUCCUUAAAGUUAGUGACAAAAUCACCACCUUUUAUGAAGAAGAAGAAGAAGAAUAAAAGAUGGAAUAACAGACAUGUUCCCCAACUGACUGACUUUUUAAACAAUGAGAAGCUGUCUGUUGCUAUUGUGAGGGAUGUUGUGACUUCAUACCUAACAUCACUGUGUGAGAACUUCAGCUCAUAUUUCUCUGAUGUGAACACUGAUGCCUGGGACUGGGUGCUGAUCCAUUUUCACCUGAUGCAACAAGAAAUGGCUUAAGAGGUAAAACAGAAGAACAGCUCUUGGAGUUAUCUUGUGACAGAACAUUGAAGGCCAGAUUCCAACAGGAAAAUCAUGCAAACUUUUGGGCCUCCCUCUCACAUGAGUUUCCUGAACUGACUGCUGAGGACAUGAAAAUAUUGCUGCUGUUUUGUUAGAAUUAUUUUUAUUAUUCUCUACAUGUUUAUUUUUAUUUACCAUGUUUAUGGCAUUUAUCACAUAUUUACUCAUUACUAUUAAAAAGGUUUUAAGAUUUGAGUUUAUUCAGACAAAGUGUUUUUCAAAUGACUAAUAUCUCUCAUGUAUUAUUGUUUAUUAUUGUGAUUUAUUUACUGGAACAUAUACCAUGCUUCAUCUUACCUCAUACUAUGUUUUUCAACUGUCUCUCUUAUCAUUGCAGAAGGCCUGCAGAGAUAUAACUCUUUUUCCAAGACCUGAACUGAACUGUGUGAAUGGCGUUGUAUUAUCUUGAAUGUCACAUCAUAAAUGGUUUCUAAUUAGGGACCUCCCUGAACACAAUAAAGAGAGAGGAAGCACAGGGUGUGUUUUCAGAGCAGUAAGGAGUUGUAACUGAGCACAUCUCUGCUGUUGUCCUCUCAAAUAAAACCAAA